rnacentral:rRNA from 1 species
GCAUAUCAAUAAGCGGAGGAAAAGAAAUUAACUAAGAUUGCCCUAGUAACGGCGAGCGAACCGGCAUCAGCCCAACUUGAAAAUCUCUUCGGAGAAUUGUAGUCUAUCGAAGCGCCCUCUGUGGCAGGCGGAGCUCAAGUCUGCUCUUGAACGCAGCGUCAGGGAGGGUGACAACCCCGUCGGCUCCAGCCCAGCUACUCCACGAGGUGCUUUCCACGAGUCGAGUUGUUUGGGAAU